ACGGGAGGCAGCAGUGGGGAAUAUUGGGCAAUGGGCGAAAGCCUGACCCAGCAACGCCGCGUGAAGGAAGAAGGCCUUCGGGUUGUAAACUUCUUUUGUCAGGGACGAAGGACGUGACGGUACCUGACGAAUAAGCAACGGCUAACUACGUGCCAGCAGCCGCGGUAAUACGUAGGUUGCAAGCGUUGUCCGGAUUUGCUGGGUGUAAAGGGCGUGUAGGCGGAACUGCAAGUCAGAUGUGAAAUCCCGGGGCUCAACCCCGGAACUGCAUUUGAAACUGUAGUCCUUGAGUAUCGGAGAGGCAAGCGGAAUUCCUAGUGUAGCGGUGAAAUGCGUGGAUAUUAGGAGGAACACCAGUGGCGAAGGCGGCUUGCUGGACGACAACUGACGCUGAGGCGCGAAAGCGUGGGGAGCAAACAGGAUUAGAUACC
rnacentral:rRNA from 1 species